rnacentral:rRNA from 1 species
UACGUAGGCAGCGAGCGUUGUUCGGAAUUACUGGGCGUAAAGAGUGUGUAGGCGGUGUUCCCAGUCUGUUGUGAAAUCUCCCGGCUUAACUGGGAGGGUGCAGCGGAAACUAGAAUGCUAGAGGGUGGGAGAGGUAAGCGGAAUUCCUGGUGUAGCGGUGAAAUGCGUAGAUAUCAGGAGGAACACCGGUGGUGUAGACGGCUUACUGGACCACGACUGACACUGAGGCACGAAAGCGUGGGUAGCAAACAGG